rnacentral:rRNA from 1 species
AUUGAACGCUGGCGGCAUGCCUUACACAUGCAAGUCGAACGGUAACAGGUCUUCGGAUGCUGACGAGUGGCGAACGGGUGAGUAAUACAUCGGAACGUGCCUAGUAGUGGGGGAUAACUACUCGAAAGAGUGGCUAAUACCGCAUGAGAUCUACGGAUGAAAGCAGGGGAUCGCAAGACCUUGUGCUACUAGAGCGGCCGAUGGCAGAUUAGGUAGUUGGUGGGAUAAAAGCUUACCAAGCCGACGAUCUGUAGCUGGUCUGAGAGGACGAUCAGCCACACUGGGACGGAGGCACGGCCCAGACUCCUACGGGAGGCAGCAGUGGGGAAUUUUGGACAAUGGGCGAAAGCCAGAUCCAGCAAUGCCGCGUGCAGGAUGAAGGCCUUCGGGUUGUAAACUGCUUUUGUACGGAACGAAAAGCCCCGGGUUAAUACCCUGGGGUCAUGACGGUACCGUAAGAAUAAGCACCGGCUAACUACGUGCCAGCCGCCGCAGUAA